rnacentral:rRNA from 1 species
UGGGGAAUAUUGCACAAUGGGCGAAAGCCUGAUGCAGCAACGCCGCGUGAAGGAUGAAGGUCCUUGGAUUGUAAACUUCUGUCCAUAGGGAAGAAACAAAUGACGGUACCUAUGGAGGAAGCCCCGGCUAACUACGUGCCAGCAGCCGCGGUAAUACGUAGGGGGCAAGCGUUAUCCGGAAUUAUUGGGCGUAAAGCGUGCGUAGGCGGCUUUUUAAGCGUGGGGUUUAAGGCUAUGGCUCAACCAUAGUAUGCCCUGCGAACUGGAAGGCUUGAGUACAGGAGAGGAAAGCGGAAUUCCUAGUGUAGCGGUGAAAUGCGUAGAUAUUGGGAGGAACACCAGUGGCGAAGGCGGCUUUCUGGACUGAAACUGACGCUGAGGUACGAAAGCGUGGGGAGCAAACAGG